rnacentral:lncRNA from 1 species
GGGAGACGGCCUCGCUCCUGCAGGGAGAGAUGGUGAGGAGAUGGCCUUGCUCCCGCAGGGAGAGAUAGUGGGAGAGACAGCCUCACUCCCGCAGGGAGAGAUGGUGGGAGAGACAGCCUCGCUCUUCCAGGGAGAGAUGGUGGGGAGACGGCCUCACUCCUGUAGGGAGAGAUGGUGGGAGAGACAGCCUCACUCCUGCAGAGAGAGAUGGUGGGAGAGAGGUCCUCGCUCCUGCAGGGAGAGAUGGUGGGAGAGAGGUCCUCGCUCCUGCAGGGAGAGAUGGUGGGGGAGACAGCCUCGCUCUUGCAGGGAGAGAUGGUGGGGAGAGACGGCCUCACUCCUGCAGGGAGAGAUGGUGGGAGAGAGGUCCUCACUCCUGCAGGGAGAGAUGGUGGGGAGACGGCCUCACUCCUGCAGGGAGAGAUGGUGGGGGAGACGGCCUCGCUCAGGGGCUGAGGACGUGAGAGCUCCAAGGUGGAGAAUCGGAGCUGGGGUGAGAAGGAAGUCCAUGGCAGCCCUGUGGCGCCCCUGUGGGGUUCGCUGAGAGCACACAGUGGCCCCUCUCAGUAGAUUUUCUGCUCCCAUGGGUGCCUCUGUCCACCACCCCACCCUGGUUUCAGAUAAAUGGCUGCUCUGAGAAAAGGGAGACGCAGGUUUCUCCUGGGUGGAUUCUAGUUCAGAUAGAAUUGCUGCCUGGGUUCCCUUAACGCUGCGUGUGCGGUGACUGACCUGGGGCUAAAAACACGUUCUGGGGUCCUGCCUGUGCUGGGGCCAGGUAAGCGAUGCUGGCAGCCAUCCCGCUGCCCCGCUUAGAGCCCUUGCUGCUCCGCGCCUGAGAGAAUUCCCACCAGUGCACCUGGGAAAGCAGUGGGUGGUGGCCCAAGUGCUUGGGUCCCUCCCACCCAUGUGGGAGACCCAGAUGCAGUCCUGGGCUCCAGGCUUUGGUUUGGACCUACCCUGACCAUUGCAGCCACUUGGGGAGUGAACCAGCAGAUAGAAAAUCUCCUUUGACUUCUCUCUCUCUCUCUCACUCUGCCUUUCAGAUAAAUAAAAUUAGUCUUUAUAAAACCCA